AUUGAACGCUGGCGGCAUGCUUUACACAUGCGAGUCGAACGGCAGCGCGGGCUUCGGCUUGGCGGCGAGUGGCGAACGGGUGAGUAAUGCAUCGGAACGUGCCCAGUAGUGGGGGAUAGCCCGGCGAAAGCCGGAUUAAUACCGCAUACGACCUGAGGGUGAAAGCGGGGGACCGAAAGGCCUCGCGCUAUUGGAGCGGCCGAUGUCGGAUUAGCUAGUUGGUGGGGUAAAGGCUUACCAAGGCGACGAUCCGUAGCUGGUCUGAGAGGACGACCAGCCACACUGGGACUGAGACACGGCCCAGACUCCUACGGGAGGCAGCAGUGGGGAAUUUUGGACAAUGGGGGCAACCCUGAUCCAGCCAUGCCGCGUGCGGGAAGAAGGCCUUCGGGUUGUAAACCGCUUUUGUUCGGGAAGAAAUCCUCUGGGCUAAUACCCCGGGGGGAUGACGGUACCGGAAGAAUAAGCACCGGCUAACUACGUG
rnacentral:rRNA from 1 species